rnacentral:rRNA from 1 species
GAGUUUGAUCCUGGCUCAGGAUGAACGCUGGCGGUAUGCCUAACACAUGCAAGUCGUACGAGGGUUUUUAACUCUAGUGGCGGACGGGUGAGUAACACGUGAGAAUUUGCCUUUAGGAGGGGGAUAACAAUCGGAAACGAAUGCUAAUACCCCAUAUGCUUUUGAGUGAAACGGAUUUAUCCGCCUAAAGAGAAGCUCGCGGCUGAUUAGCUUGUUGGUAAGGUAAGAGCUUACCAAGGCGACGAUCAGUAUCUGGUUUGAGAGGACGAUCAGACACACUGGAACUGAGACACGGUCCAGACUCCUACGGGAGGCAGCAGUGGGGAAUUUUCCGCAAUGGGCGAAAGCCUGACGGAGCAAUACCGCGUGAGGGAAGAAUGCCUAUGGGUUGUAAACCUCUUUUUUCAGGGAGGAAUAAAAUGACGUGUACCUGAAGAAUAAGCAUCGGCUAACUCCGUGCCAGCAGCCGCGGUAAGACGGAGGAUGCAAGUGUUAUCCGGAAUCACUGGGCGUAAAGCGUCUGUAGGUGGUUUAAUAAGUCAACUGUUAAAUCUUGAGGCUCAACUUCAAAAUCGCAGUCGAAACUAUUAGACUAGAGUAUAGUAGGGGUAAAGGGAAUUUCCAGUGGAGCGGUGAAAUGCGUAGAUAUUGGAAAGA